AGCCAAGUGGCGGAACAGGUAGACGCGCGACCCUCAGACAGUCGUGCCCACAGAGGCGUGCGAGUUCGACUCUCGCCUUGGCUA
rnacentral:tRNA from 1 species